rnacentral:sRNA from 1 species
AUGCUUGCCUACUCCUCUGUCCACUGCUUUCGUGAAGACAAGAUGAAGUUCACAAUUGUCUUUGCUGGACUUCUUGGAGUCUUUCUAGCUCCUGCCCUUGCUAGCUAUAAUAUCAACGUCAACAAUGACAACAACAAUGCUGGAAGUGGGCAGCAGUCAGUGAGUGUCAACAAUGAACACAAUGUGGCCAAUGUUGACAAUAACAAUGGAUGGGACUCCUGGAAUUCCAUCUGGGAUUAUGGAAAUGUAGGUAGCCAACGUGCAAUUUUCACUCUAUUGUUGAAAAAUUGGUUUUCUUUUUAACAAAAAAUGUGCAUGUUAACCAUAAAGAAAUUAAAAAUAAAUUCUAAUUACACAUAGCGUACAGUUAUAAGUAAAGGUGCCCAUUUUGCUCAUCCAAUUUUGUUCCCUAGAGAUAACUACUGUUAAUAAGUGUUGCAUGAUCAGUUAAAAUUCAAACCAAUAAACACUAUGUUCAAGGGAUUGAGUAUAUACAACAAAUACGAACAUCCUUUUGCCUUGCCUGCAGAUACCCUCAAUAAUGCUGAAAGACUUAUACAACAUUACUGCUUCCAAAGC